AUUCUUUGCACGAUCAGAAAAUAUUUAAUUAAGUACCAAUAUUACAUUCUCCUAACAUGACAGUAAAUUUAGAUUUCAAUUAACUGUACUAACCUGCGAGACUCAGAUAUUAUAUCAUUAUGAAGUAAGACAUAGCGAUGUGCCUGUGCCAACGAUUUCUGGUCAAGAACAACACUUUCAACUUUUUUCAAAAUUCUUCCACCAGAUGAGAACUUAUAAACAUCUGCAUUCUCUAUGAUAUCACAAUUCCUCUUAGGUCGAUUGAAAACUGUUUUAAUACCUUCAAGAUAUCUCGAACAAAAUGUCAAACACUCCUCAGUAAUAUAUCCUUCAGCAAUCCAGCCCUCGGGAUAGGCUCGAUUGC
rnacentral:lncRNA from 1 species